rnacentral:rRNA from 1 species
GGAGUCUAGCAUGUGCGCGAGUCACUGGGACGACACGAAACCCAAAGGCGAAAUGAAAGUAAAAGAACGCUCCGCGUUCCUAGGGAAGAUGGGCCGCGCCUCGGCGCGGCCUCGCACUCCCGGGGCGUCUCGAUCUCAUCGCGAGAAGAGGCGCACCCAGAGCGUACACGCUGGGACCCGAAAGAUGGUGAACUAUGCCUGGUCAGGAUGAAGUCAGGGGAAACCCUGAUGGAGGUCCGUAGCGAUUCUGACGUGCAAAUCGAUCGCAGGAACUGGGUAUAGGGGCGAAAGACCAAUCGAACCAUCUAGUAGCUGGUUCCAUCCGAAGUUUCCCUCAGGAUAGCUGGCGCUCGCUUUGCGAGUCUCAUCCGGUAAAGCGAAUGAUUAGAGGCAUUGGGGUCGAAACGGCCUCAACCUAUUCUCAAACUUUAAAUGGGUGAGAUCUCCGGCUUGCUUAGUGCGUGAAGCCGGAGAUCGGAUCAGAGUGCCAAGUGGGCCAUUUUUGGUAAGCAGAACUGGCGCUGUGGGAUGAACCAAACGCAGAGUUAAAGCGCCUAAAUCGACGCUUAUGGGAUACCAUGAAAGGCGUUGGUAACUUAAGACAUCAGGACGGUGGCCAUGGAAGUC